rnacentral:rRNA from 1 species
AGCAGCCGCGGUAAUUCCAGCUCCAAUAGCGUAUAUUAAAGUUGUUGCAGUUAAAAAGCUCGUAGUUGAAUUUCGGGAUCAAGUCGUCGGUCGUGCUCAGGUACGUACUGGCGUCAUUGAUUUCUCCCUUCUGACGAACCAUGAUGUCAUUAAUUUGGUGUUAUGGGAAAUCAGGACUGUUACUUUGAAAAAAUUAGAGUGUUUAAAGCAGGCUCACGCUUGAAUACAUUAGCAUGGAAUAAUGAAAUAGGACGUUCGAUCCUAUUUUGUUGGUUUUAGGAUCAACGUAAUGAUUAAUAGGGAUAGUUGGGGGCAUUAGUAUUCAAUUGUCAGAGGUGAAAUUCUUGGAUUUAUUGAAGACUAACUACUGCGAAAGCAUUUGCCAAGGAUGUUUUCAUUAAUCAAAGAACGAAAGUUAGGGGAUCGAAGACGAUCAGAUACCGUCGUAGUCUUAACCAUAAACUAUGCCGACUAGGGAUCGGAUGAUGUUAAUUUUUUAAUGACUCAUUCGGCGCCUUAC